GACGAACGCUGGCGGCGUGCUUAACACAUGCAAGUCGAGCGGUAAGGCCCUUUCGGGGGUACACGAGCGGCGAACGGGUGAGUAACACGUGGGUGACCUGCCCUCAGCUCUGGGAUAAGCCUGGGAAACCGGGUCUAAUACUGGAUAUGACUCCAUGACGCAUGUUGUGGGGUGGAAAGCCUUGUGCGGCUGAGGAUGGGCCCGCGGCCUAUCAGCUUGUUGGUGGGGUGANGGCCUACCAAGGCGACGACGGGUAGCCGGCCUGAGAGGGCGACCGGGCCACACUGGGACUGGAGACACGGCCCAGGACUCCUACGGGAGGCA
rnacentral:rRNA from 1 species